rnacentral:rRNA from 1 species
UAAACUACGAUUAGAUACCCUAUUAUUUUAAAUGUGAAGUGUAAAUACUUGAGUAGUACGAGAUAUGAUCUUGAAACUCAAAGAAUUUGGCGGUGUUUUAGUCCUUUCAGAGGAACCUGCCCCGUAAUCGAUAUUCCACGUUAUACCUUACUUAAUUUUGUUGAUCAGUUUGUAUACCGCCGUCGUCAGAAUGUCCUAUUAGGGUUAGAAUUUUCUUUAUUUAGAAUGAUUAAAGGAUGUCAGGUCAAGGUGCAGUUUAUGAUUAAGUGGAGGUGGGUUACAAUAAAUUUAUUUAAUACGGAUGGUUGUUUGCAAGAUUAAUGACUUGAAGGUGGAUUUGAAUGUAAUUAUAUAUAGGAUAAUAUUUUGAUUUUGGCUCUAAAACAUGCACACAUCGCCCGUCGCUCUUA